GGGGUUGUAGUUAACAAUAACAUUUGAAUUGCACUCAAAAAGUACUGACACUAGUCUACCUUA
rnacentral:tRNA from 1 species